GGGAACGCUUCCAGCAAUGGCGGCGGCUCAGCGGGGCUGGCCUCCAGGCAGGGCAAUGCGCCUGCGCAGCCGGAGAGUCCGAACUACAAUGCCCAGAAUCCUCAACGCCUGAGCCCCCGCCCCUUUUAUCUGCUGGUGAAGGAAUUGGCUCUUUGGGGGGUGCGAAAAAUUCAAAUUGGAUACACGAACGAAUGAGGUGGCUCACUUCUGUAAUCCCAGCACUUUGGGAGGCCGAGGCGGGCGGAUUACGAGGUAAUAAAUAGAUUUGUAUCAUCACAACGUGUUGUGGAAUACUUCGGAAUCAGUGACAUUCAAGAACAAGAUGGUAGACUUUGUCUGGGAAGAGCAGAACUUAGUGGAACCCUCAGGAAGGAAUCUGCACAAGGGUGUGAUUUGGGGAAACUACAGGAACCUGGUCUCUCUGGCUCUCCAGGGCUGAAGCUGAGUGCUGAUCAGCUGGCCCUGGUCUAUGGCACGCUGGGGCUCUGCCUGUGUGCCGUUGUCUGCUGCUUCCUAGUGGCGGUGGCCUGCUUCCUCAAGAAGGGGAUCCCUGCUCCUGCCAGCCUCACACAAGGCCCUGUCAAAGUCUGGCCAAGUCUUCCCAGGUGAUACAGAGCUGCCCCCCGUCAGUGUUCUGGAGGUGAAGGGCCCUGAAGCCCAGGACCCAGCAUCCACAGGCCACUACCAGAAGCCUG
rnacentral:lncRNA from 13 species